AUGGAGAGGGGGAUCAGAACCGGCCGGGAGGGGAAUGGGAGAAUCAGGGAAUUGGGGAGAUCAGGGAACUGGAGAAUGGGGGAAUUGGGGAAUCAGGGAAUUGGGGAAUUGGAGAAUCAGGGAAUGGGGGAAUCAGGGAAUUGGGGAGAUCAGGGAACUGGAGAAUGGGGGAAUUGGGGAAUCAGGGAAUUGGGGAAUUGGAGAAUCAGGGAAUGGGGGAAUCAGGGAAUUGGGGAGAUCGGGGAAUUGGGAAAUGGGGGAAUUGGGGAAUCAGGGAACCAGGGAACUGGGGGAAUUGAGGAGAUCAGGGAACUGGGGAAUGGAGGAAUUGGGGAAUCAGGGAAUCCAGGAACGGGGGAAUUGGGGAAUCAGGGAAUCACAGAAUUGGGGAAUCAGGGAGUGGGGGAAAUCAGGAAAUGGGGGAAUCGAGGAAUAGAGGAACUGGGGAAUCGGGGAAUCACUGAAUCAGGGAAUCCGGGAAUUGGGGAAUGGGGAAAUAAUGGAAUGGGGGAUUUGGGGAAUCAGGGAAUUGGGGAAAUAAUGGAAUCGGAGAAUCAGGGAAUGGAGGAACUGGGGGAAUCAGGGAAUUGGGGAAAUCAGGGAAUCAGUGAAACACUGAAUUGGAGAAAUCACAGAACUGGGGAAUGGGGAACAGGGAAAUCACUGAAUCUGGGAAUCAGGAAUCAUGGAAUCACAGAAAUCACAGAAUCACGGAAAUCACUGAAACACCGAAUCGGGGAAAACACGGAAUUGGGGAAUGGGGGAGAAUCAGGGCAAUCACUGAAUCAGGGAGUCACAGGGCUCCAGGACACCCCCAGAUCGUCCUCCCACAACGGGGCAAGGGGAGCCUCAGAGCGAAUCCCCCUGCCUGAGGGGAAGGACGGCACAGAGCUGCCUGCCCGCCCCCUGUCCCGAGGGGGAACAUCCCCGAGCGGGUCCCAGCAGCUCCCCCUUCCCGCCAGCCAUGGCGCCCAGAACCUAAUUCCGCUUAGAAACGAAUUUAGCGUUUGGGACAGGAACUUAAAGCGAAGUUUCCCACAGCCAGGCCCCCUCCGCGAUGGGCUCCUCCUCCCCAAGUGA
rnacentral:lncRNA from 1 species